UACGUAGGUGGCAAGCGUUGUCCGGAAUUAUUGGGCGUAAAGCGCGCGCAGGCGGUUUCUUAAGUCUGAUGUGAAAGCCCACGGCUCAACCGUGGAGGGUCAUUGGAAACUGGGGAACUUGAGUGCAGAAGAGAAGAGCGGAAUUCCACGUAGUAGCGGUGAAAUGCGUAGAGAUGUGGAGGAACACCAGUGGCGAAGGCGGCUCUUUGGUCUGUAACUGA
rnacentral:rRNA from 1 species